rnacentral:lncRNA from 1 species
AAAUUUCACCCAAACAGUGUAGUUCUGUCUCAAAGAGUGUAAUUUUUUUAAAAAAAAUUACACUAUUUUAUAUAAAAUUUACAUUCUUUGGGAUGAGAGUUGCACUCUUUAGGCGAACGUUGUACUAUUUGGGUGAAAUUUAUACUAUUUGGGAUGACAAAUAUUACACUUUUUAGGUGAACGUUGCACUAUUUGGGUGAAUU